AGUUUGCAACGGAAGGCGUAACUGAAAUAAUCAGUGUUUACAGCGGAAAGCAUAACUGUGAUACAUGUAUGAAGACAUGUAUCCUUUCUGAGCCUACUUUAAGUUCGACAAAAACUCCACUCAGCAACACUUCAUCGCCCAUCACAGCUCAACCUGCACAAACAUAAACAUCGAAGGGCUAAGUACAAGAGUACUUAGUGGGCAGUUGCCAAGCAUAUAACAUAACAUCAACAACAAAACACAACAUCGCAUAAGAGGCAUAAGUUUCUUUCAAAUCCUUUGCUCAUUAAACAUUUCCAAAUUCAUAAAUAGCAUGAGCGCAUUCUUCAUCAUCAACAAUCAUAAACAAACAUCGUGUCGUGGAGAAGGCCUUCCCCAACGAACACGGGCAUCGCACCGUGAGAGGGGGCCUCCCUCAGCGGUCACGGCAUCGUACUAUUGAGGGAGGCCUUCCCCAAUAGACGCUGUAAUACUGGCAUACUGGCAUACUGCAUACUGGCAUCGCGCCGCUAGGGAGGCCUCCCUAAGCGGAUACGGGCAUCGCGCCGUGAGGAAGGCCCUCCUCAGCGGACACGGCAUCGUACUGUUGAGGGAGGCCUCCCCCAACAGACGCAAGCAUCAAUCACAUAAGCAUAAACUUAUCAGCGUAAAGCAUUCAAGCGUAAAUAAACGUAAUCAAGCGUAAAUUACAUAGGGCGUAAAUAGUAUAAACAGCACAGCGUAAAUUAUUUAACGUGCAGCAUAAUAAAGCUUAACUCAUUUAAGCGUAAUAAAGCAUACCGCACUUGAAGAUCCAAUUUGCAUUUUAAAGCAUACCACACUUGCAUAUCAUUUUAUUUAUGCGUAAGAAAUUGCCCACCUGAUAGCAAAGUUUUGCUAAGGUACUCUAACUCCUUGUGUAGUUCUUACUCUCGCGCUUGACCUUGCGAAUGUUUUGGGCUUGGUUGGCUGCUGUGAUGUUGAGUUAAAAGAACUGGAAUGACUGAACUUAAUGUUUCUGGCAGAGAGUGAAUGAGUGAUUUCUCUCACUUUUCGGUUGUAGUGCAUUGAAUGAAUUGAAACUUGAAAACAUUGGCAGGUUGAAAUGGAGGCUCCCCUGCUCUUUGGGAGAUUCUUGGUGAAAAGUGAUAGUGAGUCUUGCGUUGCUUGGCUGAAGUUGAGACUAAGAUAAGGAAGAGUUGUUGCUGCACUAGUAUGGUGGGGGAGUUGGUGGUUGUG
rnacentral:lncRNA from 1 species